GGUAUUGAUUGGUGCUUGCAUCAUGAUUUACAUUUGAGUGAGUGGCGAACUGGUGAGUAACACGUGGGAAACCUGCCCAGAAGCGGGGGAUAACACCUGGAAACAGAUGCUAAUACCGCAUAACAACUUGGACCGCAGGUCCGAGUUUGAAAGAUGGCUUCGGCUAUCACUUUUGGAUGGUCCCGCGGCGUAUUAGCUAGAUGGUGGGGUAACGGCUCACCAUGGCAAUGAUACGUAGCCGACCUGAGAGGGUAAUCGGCCACAUUGGGACUGAGACACGGCCCAAACUCCUACGGGAGGCAGCAGUAGGGAAUCUUCCACAAUGGACGAAAGUCUGAUGGAGCAACGCCGCGUGAGUGAAGAAGGGUUUCGGCUCGUAAAACUCUGUUGUUAAAGAAGAACAUAUCUGAGAGUAACUGUUCAGGUAUUGACGGUAUUUAACCAGAAAGCCACGGCUAACUACGUGCCAGCAGCCGCGGUAAUACGUAGGUGGCAAGCGUUGUCCGGAUUUAUUGGGCGUAAAGCGAGCGCAGGCGGUUUUUUAAGUCUGAUGUGAAAGCCUUCGGCUCAACCGAAGAAGUGCAUCGGAAACUGGGAAACUUGAGUGCAGAAGAGGACAGUGGAACUCCAUGUGUAGCGGUGAAAUGCGUAGAUAUAUGGAAGAACACCAGUGGCGAAGGCGGCUGUCUGGUCUGUAACUGACGCUGAGGCUCGAAAGUAUGGGUAGCAAACAGGAUUAGAUACCCUGGUAGUCCAUACCGUAAACGAUGAAUGCUAAGUGGUUGGGA
rnacentral:rRNA from 2 species